rnacentral:lncRNA from 1 species
UUUUUCUUUCUUUUCAGAAAUGGCUAGUAAUUUAUCGCUCCACUUACUGUUUGACAGUGAUAAGCUUAUUGGACCCAAUUUCGAUAGUCAGUAUCGAAAGUUGAAUAUUGAUCUUAAACCCAAUCUAACUAAAAAGUUUAGGAUUGAAUCGAGUCAAGCAGACUAUGACCCAAAUAAACUAAAGAGAAAUGAGCAAUUAGUUACUGAUCAAGGUGCUUAUAUGAUAACACCUUGUAAUUUCUCUAUAUGUGACACUACUAUCUGGGUAUUGGAUACCAAAAAUCUAGUUCACAUAUAUAAUUCGUUGCAAGGACUUCAAG